UACGGGGGGGGCAAGCGUUGUUCGGAAUUACUGGGCGUAAAGGGCUCGUAGGUGGCCAACUAAGUCAGACGUGAAAUCCCCAGGCUCAACUUGGGAACUGCGUCUGAUACUGGAUGGCUUGAAUCCGGGAGAGGGAUGCAGAAUUCCAGGUGUAGCGGUGAAAUGCGUAGAUAUCUGGAGGAACACCGGUGGCGAAGGCGGCGCUCUGGACCGAGACUGACGCUGAGGCGCGAAAGCGUGGGGAGCAAACAGG
rnacentral:rRNA from 1 species